AUUGAACGCUGGCGGCAGGCCUAACACAUGCAAGUCGAACGAGUGGCGGACGGGUGAGUAAUGUCUGGGAAACUGCCCGAUGGAGGGGGAUAACUACUGGAAACGGUAGCUAAUACCGCAUACCAUCGGAUGUGCCCAGAUGGGAUUAGCUAGGAGGGGGGGUAACGGCUCACCUGGGCCACGAUCCCUAGCUGGUCUGAGAGGGUGACCGGCCAACCUGGACCGGAGACACGGUCCAGACUCCUACGGGAGGAGGCGUUGGGAAAUAUUGCACAAUGGGCGCAAGCCGAAUGCAGCCAUGCCGCGGGUAUGAAGAAGGCCUUCGGGUUGUAAAGUACUUUCAGCGAGGAGGCGUUACUCGCAGAAGAAGCACCGGCUAACUCCGUGCCAGCAGCCGCGGUAAUAC
rnacentral:rRNA from 1 species